CGAGUUUGAUCCUGGCUCAGAGCGAACGUUUGCGGCGGGCUUAACACAUGCAAGUCGAACGAGAAUCCCUUCGGGGAGGAAAGUGGCGCACGGGUGCGUAACACGUGGAUAACCAACCCAUUGGUUUGGGACAACACCGGGAAACUGGUGCUAAUACCAGAUGUGUCGCAGCUGUCUUCAGGCGGUUGCGAGAAAGGCCCGCAAGGGUCGCCAACGGACGGGUCCGCGUCCCAUCAGCUAGUUGGUGAGGUAAUGGCUCACCAAGGGCAAAGACGGGUAGCUGGUCUGAGAGGAUGAUCAGCCACACUGGAACUGAGACACGGUCCAGACUCCUACGGGAGGCAGCAGUGGGGAAUAUUGCGCAAUGGGCGAAAGCCUGACGCAGCCACGCCGCGUGAGCGAUGAAGGUCUUCGGAUCGUAAAGCUCUGUGGGGGGAGAAGAAGAAAGCCGGUGAAGAGCCGGCCCUGACGGUAUCCCCUUAGCAAGCACCGGCUAACUCCGUG
rnacentral:rRNA from 1 species